rnacentral:rRNA from 1 species
CGGAUUGCAGUCUGCAACUCGAGUGCAUGAAGCUGGAAUCGCUAGUAAUCGCGAAUCAGAAUGUCGCGGUGAAUACGUUCCCGGGUCUUGUACACACCGCCCGUCACACCAUGGGAGCCGACAACGCCCGAAGUCAGUGACCUAACCGAGAGGGAGGAGUUGCCGAAGGCGGGGUUGGUAACUGGGGUGAAGUCGUAACAAGGUAGC